ensembl:lncRNA
UGGAAACGCGGCAUUACAAAAGGUACCGUACAGACACUUGUUGAGUGGAACCAGUAAACAGUCGAAACCCCAAGGCGCGGCGUGUGGGAAAGUGGAUCGAUUUGCCAGCUACGACCACCUGAUGGCUUUUUGGUCUUUGAUUGAGCCUUGUCUCUACAAGAUGGUACGUGUCUCCAGAGCCAAAUCAGCUGCCAAGAAAAAAGAAGUGGUCGCACCUGCACGUGCAUCAACAGUACUUUAGACAUCUGCUCCAACCCAUAGAUUAACUCUUUCCUUUUUCAUCACUGGUGAUGAAUCGCAAAGCUUGAUCUAAGAGAAUAAGCUCUUGUAAACACGGGUGUAGGACGUCGCCAUCUUUGACCGGAAGCUGUGAAGCUGUAUUACGGCGAAUAAGGAAGCGCUUGUGCAAGUAGCCUAUUUAGUUUUGAAGCACUUUUUCCUCAUAUUUGUUGACCCUUUACAUCGAGACCCAAUUAAUAAAUGUUGUUCCGGGAUGUUGCAGGACUGUACUAUCCGGUGUACAUCAAUUAUCGCUUGUUUACUUGACUGAGGCAAAAUAGUCAUGUCACAAGGCACACACUAAACAAGCGUGCUUCAAUCAUGUUCCCUCUUACAGUUAUAGUAGCUCCAUCCAAAACGUCCUACUGGGUCUUGGGGUCAAACAUUGAGCCCUCACGCUCAUUCAGUGCCAUUAUAAAAGGAAUGCAGGUUUAAAAGAAGCAUCUAAAGAAACUGCAAUUUCAGGUAUCAGUGUACAUCCAUUUACUGACCAGUAGAGGGCAGUGUCACCCCUGUAAUGGACGAAUAUAAUUAACAGCAUCUUCAACAAACAGAUGUUUCCUUGCUUGUCUUGAGCGGGGCAAACAGUUUUGCACUUCCAAACAAAUUAAACGGCCCGAAUAAUAUAUUAUAUUUGAAUUGCCGCACGCUUUUUUUAUGCAAACUUAGGGCAUAGACGCCACUUAUAAAUUAGUUAUGGGAUUCUGAUUCUGAUUUUGGGUCAGGGCUACAGCCAGUUUACAGCGAUGUUUGGUUUGCAUACGAUUGUGGUAUUCCAUAAUUCAACAUAGCUGCCAUGGACAACCCAAUGAAACUCAUCAGGCUGAUAUUUAUUAUCCAAAGAAGACUUGUACUUUGAAACAACGUUUUUUAUUCAAAGGCCACUAUUAAACACAUUUAUAUUACUAAUAGGAUUUUGCAGUGACAAU